rnacentral:rRNA from 1 species
AUUGAACGCUGGCGGCAGGCUUAACACAUGCAAGUCGAGCGGGGGAAGGUAGCUUGCUACCGGACCUAGCGGCGGACGGGUGAGUAAUGCUUAGGAAUCUGCCUAUUAGUGGGGGACAACAUCUCGAAAGGGAUGCUAAUACCGCAUACGUCCUACGGGAGAAAGCAGGGGAUCUUCGGACCUUGCGCUAAUAGAUGAGCCGAAGUCGGAUUAGCUAGUUGGUGGGGUAAAGGCCUACCAAGGCGACGAUCCGUAGCGGGUCUGAGAGGAUGAUCCGCCACACUGGGACUGAGACACGGCCCAGACUCCUACGGGAGGCAGCAGUGGGGAAUAUUGGACAAUGGGGGGAACCCUGAUCCAGCCAUGCCGCGUGUGUGAAGAAGGCCUUAUGGUUGUAAAGCACUUUAAGCGAGGAGGAGGCUACUCUAGUUAAUACCUAGGGAUAGUGGACGUUACUCGCAGAAUAAGCACCGGCUAACUCUGUGCCAGCCGCCGCCGUAACAC